rnacentral:lncRNA from 1 species
UGCCCAGUCCCUAAGUACCUUGACUUUUGAUACCUCUCUCUGUAUAGUAAUUAAAGUAUAAAUGCAUGUUCAUAGAGUACAGAUAAACAGAAGGUAUAAAAAUCGGUAUUUGGAAAAUAGGGGGAGGGCAAAAAAUGUGCCCAGUCCCUAAGUACCUUUGACUUUUGAUACCUCUCUCUGUAUAUUAAUUCAAGUAUAAAUGCAUGUUCAUAGAGUACAGAUAAACGAAGGUAUAAAAAUCGGUAUUUGGAAAAUAGGGGGAGGGCAAAAAAUGUGCCCAGUCCCUAAGUACCUUUGACUUUUGGUACCUCUCCUGAAAUUCUCUGUAUAGUAAUUAAAGUAUAUAUGCAUGUUCAUAGAAUACAGAAAAACAGAAGGUAUAAAAAUCGGUAUUUGGAAAAUAGGGGGAGGGCAAAAAAUCUGCCCAGUCCCUAAGUACCUUUGACUUUUGAUAUCUCUCCUGAAAUUGAAAAUAGGGGGAGGGCAAAAAAAUGUGCCCAGUCCCUAAGUACCUUUGACUUUUGAUAUCUCUCCUGAAAUUUUCCAGUCAGUAUAUUUUUUUACAGUUUACGUACGCUCUAUUUCCCCGCGAUUUCGCGGGUGUGUUCUAGUAAA